rnacentral:rRNA from 1 species
AUUGAACGCUGGCGGCAGGCCUAACACAUGCCAGUCGAGCGGAUGAAGGGAGGUUGCUCCUGGAUUCAGCGGCGGACGGGUGAGUAAUUCCUAGGAAUCUGCCUGGUAGUGGGGGAUAACGUCCGGAACCGGGAGCUAAUACCGCAAACGUCCUGGGGGAGAAAGUGGGGGAUCCUCGGACCUCACGCUAUCAGAUGAGCCAGGGUCGGAUUAGCUAGUUGGUGGGGUAAGGGCCUACCAAGGCGACGAUCCGUGACAGGUCUGAGAGGAUGAUCAGUCACACUGUAACUGAGACACGGUCCAGACUCCUACGGGAGGCAGCAGUGGGGAAUAUUGGACGAUGGGCGAAGUCCUGAUACAGCCAUGCCGCGUGUGUGAAGAAGGUCUUCGGAUUGUAAAGCACUUUAAGUUGGGAGGAAGGGCAGUAAGUUAAUACCUUGCUGUUUUGACGUUACCAACAGAAUAAGCACCGGCUAACUUCGUG